AGGGUUGUAGUUAAAUUAAUAUAGUUUUGUCAUGGCUAAGAUUUUAGACUCUU
rnacentral:tRNA from 1 species